CACUCUGGCCUAUGGUGCAGCUGUCUCUUGUGCUUGAUCUAACCAUGUGCCGCCGCCUACACAAGCCUCACAUGGUUCCGUCAAGCACCAGGGACCGCUGGGCACACUCGCACACAGCA
rnacentral:precursor_RNA from 8 species